UUCUCCCCCAGCCCCUUUCUCCCUUUCUUUCUUUCAUUCAGAAACAAAUUGAGCCAAAAAAAAAAAUAUCCUAGCCUCACCACCGCCGCAAGCAGUGGCACAUCGCCGCCGUCCGUCGCACUCAAAGCCGCCGUCCGUCCGUCCGUCCAUCCAUCUAGCUUCCCUCGUUCUCCAAGUCUCCAACCCCUGUUCGCUUUCACCGAUCGCAACUUCUUCCUCGAGGUGGGCUCGGUGUCCGUCGUCUUCCUCUGCUAGCCGUUGUCUGGUAGCCGUCGCUGCGCCGAGGAGGACGACCUUGAACUUCCGCCGCCGCCGCCAUCGCCGUCGUCUUCUGAACGAUAUGUCUGUUCGAUCUUCGCCCUUGGAAGCUGGUUCAUCGGUCGUCAGCGGUGAAGUGAAGAAGAAGGAAUAACAGUGGUCGUCGUCUGGUCUUCAUCUGCAAGCCUUUGUCUUCAUCUGCUCGCCUUUGUCUGAUCGCCGUCGCGCUCAACUGCUAUCCGUCAUUGUCUGCCCAGACUGCAAAGAUCGAAGGAUUCUGCUACUGCUAGUGCCAGAUUGAAUUGUUGAAUGAUUAACUCUGCUUUCUGCUGCUGUGCUUGUUCAGAAAUCAAACCUUCUUCGUGCUUGUUCUUCAAACGUCAUUGCUCGUCAUAUUUUUUGCCCACUACUAGUGCUAGUGUUCACUGCUAGUGUUUUGUGUUUUUUUGGCUCACUGCUUGAUGAUAAAGAUUAAAUCUGUUACUGGCUUACUAGCUUGUUCUUGCUUGUUCUAGGUUGAUUAACUCUGUUAUUGGCCUACAGAUUGAUGAUAAAUUGAUAGUGACAAAUUGUUGAAUGAUUACUGAUAAAUUGUUGAAUGGUUAUUGAUUAUUGAUAUUGAUACAUUAUAUUGAUUAUUGACUGAUUAUUGAUUA